rnacentral:lncRNA from 1 species
GUUGCAGAGAGGAAGAGUCGCUAACCCGGAGUGUUUCUUAAAACUUGGCUGACCUGUGACCUGCGGAUUUGGAGGCUGAAUUCUCCGAGCACCUGAAGCUACUGCAGGAUAUAAUCUAAGAAAAUAAGGGGAAGAAAACAAGAAAGAGGAAGACAUUGGAUCCAAGAAAUGGGGGAUCUAUCACCUUACAGAUGAAAAGAGAAUCUACAUGAUCUUUGUGAAGGAUCUGGCUAGAAACAGCACAAGGCAGCACAGGACUUGAGUCUGAAUCCCUUGCUCUGUCACUUCCUAGCUAUAUAGCUGCAGGCAAGUACUUACUCUCCCUAUGCCUCUGAUUUCUUAUUUUAAAGUUGAGGAAACAAGUAAUUCCCUCAUAAAGUUGUGUGUUAAUCAUUAAGGCUGUUGACAAAUACUCUGUUUUCCCAUCUUCUAUGCACGUUAAAAAUGUAAUCUCCUA